rnacentral:lncRNA from 1 species
AUUCCACCCCCUCCCCCCCCCACCAGUCACUGGCCUGAUUGUUCCCCUGCCUGCUCUUCGCCGUGGCAUUCCCCAUCUGUCCACGCAUCCUCUCCACUGAGUCCCUCAGCAAGUCCAAAGGCUCCUUUGUGGGGUAGAACCACUCAGCUCUUUGUAGACUUCCCCACACCCAUCAAGGUGCUUAUAAACCAAAGGCCUUCCUAGUGAACAGGACCACCUUCUUUGUGAGGGACUUGAGAUCACUAAUAGCAACAGUUAUUUAUUUAUCUAUUUAUUUUACCCAAAUCCAGGACCCUGAUGAAAAGACUGAGGAAAAUGCUGCCUUUCCUGAAUGGCUACCAGGCAGGGAAUGAUGCUGGGAAGUGUUUACCCCACAGGCUCUGUGCCUUCUCUGACUGGGCAGCUCAUGCUGUAUGCAUGGAGGCAUCAUUACCAAACACACCUCUGAGGCCAGCGGCCAGCGUCUGACUCACAAGCCAUGACUGCCCCACCUUCUUACAACAACAAUAGCAGUUUCCCCGUGAGGAUUCACCCCUCCUCCCCUCUCACUCCGCCUUUUUCCAGGGAAGCUGACUCUACCCUUUGGACCACAGCUUGGAGCACUUGACCCUGGCUAAGCUGGUCAGGGCAGCGGGUCUCCCUCCCCUGAAGCCUCAUGAUUGGCAUGAGGACAACACGUGACCUAUGUGUGGCUGCCCAGGACCCACAUAGGCUUAACGGUGGGAUUUUGUUUGACUGUGUGAUAAGUGGGUUCUUCCUUCCCUGCUGAGUGUGAAGAUAAAAAAGACUUGAGGUCUGGGGCCCACUUGGAGCCUGUUUGAGAAUGAAGCCAAGUUAUGGGAAGCAACAAAACUGAAGAGACAGCAAGGAAACCAGGCCUGGUGGUGCACUCCCAGCUAUUCUGGAGGCUGACGCGGGAGGACUGCGUGAGCUCAGCAGUUUGAGGCUGCAAUGAGCCAUGAUUUCACUACUGAACUCCAGCCUGGGCAAAAGAGCGAGACCCUGUGUCUCAGAAAAAGAGAGAGAGAAACAGAGAGCAAGGAGCAGAAGUAAUGCCUCAAGGACCAGCUUGCAGAAAGUGGAGGACCUGCCCCCUGGACCUUACAAGUAGCAGGCCACUCUUAAAAAUGCAAGGACCACAGAUGUCACCAUGACUGAAAAAUAGAGGCUGGCCCUGCCUCUGAAGAUGCUGCAAUGGACUUGUGUUCAAGGAGAAAUUGGCUGUAACUUCCCUUAUUGAGAUAUAAUCGGGCUCAUCGUUAAGCUGUGGUCAGCCAGAAGUGUAGCUGUGCCCCUGGGAUUGAAAUCAGCAAUCAAUCUGGACAUCCUUUUUCUAUCUUCAUGAGGCACCUCCCCAGUACCAACCAAAUUUCUUGGGGAUCCCCCGGGACUUCUCAUAAAUGGAAUUGAUUUGAACUCAGGAAACCCUCAAAUAGGCCAGAACAACUCACUAAUUAAAUUCAUCCCCUCCCAAAAACAAAAACAAAAACAAAAAAAAACAACACACAUGAUAGGAAAAAAAUUUUGCAAAUUAUAUAUCUGAUAUAGAACUUGUAUUCAGAACAUAUAAUGAACUCUUACAACUCAAUAAGACUGGUAACCCAAUUAAAAAUUCUUUUUAAAAAAACCAAUUUAAAAAUAAAGGCAAAUAACCUAAUUUUUAUAUAACUCAAAGUUUUUAAAGAAACAAACCAAUUUAAAAGUUCCAAAGGAUUUGAAUAAACGUUUUUCCAAAGAAGAUAUGUAAAUAGCCAAUAAACGCAUAAAAACGUGCAUAACACCAUUAGCUAUUAGGAAAAGGCAAAUCAAAACCACAGUAAAAAGCAGCUUCAAAGCCACUACAUGGUUGUGGUCAAAGAGACCACAAAUAACAAAUUGGAAUCUUUAUACAUAGCUGGUGGGAAUGUAAAAUGGUGCAGCUGCUUUGGAAAACAGUUUCACAAGUUUUCAAAAGGUUAGACCUACCAUAUAACCUAGCAACUCUACUCAUAUUUAUAUGUCAGCUACAAAUAAAAACAUUAAGUUCACCAAAAUAUUUACACAUGAAAGUUCAUAGCAUCAUUAUUAAAAUCAGAAAAAAAUAUAUUAAAAAAAACCUCAAAUGUCCAUCAACUGACGAAUGGAUAAUCAAGAUAUAGUGUUAGUCUAUUCAUACAAUGGAAAAUGAACGGGCAUAAAAGAGAAUGACAUGACCCGUGCUACAAUGUGGAGCAAUCUUGAAAAUGUGCUAAGUGAAAGAAGCCAGCAAGCCAUGCUGAAACAAGUCAGCAUUCAUACAAUAUGAUUCAAUUUAUAUGAAAUACCCAGAACAGAAAAAUGUAUAGAGACAGGCUGUAGAUUAGUGGUUGUCUAGGGCUGGGGGCAAUAGAAGGCAGAGUGACUGCUAAUAGGAAGUUUCCUUGGAGGGAUCAUGAAAAUGUUCUAAAAUCAGAUUAUACGUCCAUUUGCACAAUUUUGUGAAUAUACUCGGAACCACUGAAUUGUAUACUUUAAGUGGGUGAGGUAUGUGAAAAUUAAAUGUCAGUAAAGCUGUUUAAAAAAGUUUCAUCCCAAAGCUACAUUUUACCUAAGGCAAAUGUUUACUACCGCUUCUCUUUCAGUCCCAAAUAAUUUCCAGCCAUAUGUUCCAGUCAAGCCUCGACAAAAUUAAACAACACCACAACUUACUCCAGUUACAAGCCAAUGUGCAAAUGCCCCAAACUUGACCAUAAAUUUACCACCCAACCCCCAUCGUCUCAUUCCCAGGAAAAACUAAACACAAGAUCAACUCCCCUUGCAAGUUGAAGUCCUGACAUUGAAGUCUAAAGAAAUCACAGCCCACAAUAAAAUUCUUAAAGUGUACAAACAAUUCUUCUCA